GAAGAGGCCAAGCCGCGGGCCAGAACAGCAGACACAGCCCGUCUCCAACAGUGGGAGCGAGACCGGAUAUCCUGCUACGUCAGAGCGCCCAGGUUGCACACGUUAACCGGAAGAGUCCAGCAUGUCCCGCCCAGUUCUGCUUGCUCCGCCCUGACCCCGCCCCCUCUUGGGAGCCGGGAGGGGCUCACCUUCCGGGAAGCGGACUUGCUAGGGAGGAAAGAGGCUCCAGCUUUGGGAAGAAACUAGAGGUCAGAGAGCUGCAGGAUCUCAAGGCUUCUGCUAUGUCACUCUAAUUUUAUUAUUUUACUCAGAGAAUUGAAAAGUCCAAAAGGAAAAGAAAGACGAACCCACAAACAAUUUUGGAGAGUGGAAAAAUUACUUUGCUAGCAAUAUUUGCCUGACUCUUCUGAAAUCCUUUUUCCUUUCUGUAAGCCUGACAAGCCUCACGUCGCACAUUUUUAUUUUUCUUUGUUGUUUUCUGAGACAUAACGAAUUGAAGCCUGGCCUUGAAGCCAUGACUCCCUGCCUCUCUGUCUCAGUGCUAGGAUUAUAGGCAUGCCCACAAGAGACCAGUUACCUCCCCCCACCAUCUCACACUGAGUUCAGAGGUGUCCUGCUUGGGCUCUGCUGUGGGCAUUCUGUUCCUUUGUGAGGAAAUCCUCCCACGUUCUCUGCUUCUGCUGACGCUGAGAUCUGACUAUGCUUCCCCACAAGACUGCUUUUAAAUAACACUAAAGGUUAAUGUGCUGAGUAACUUCGGAGCAUUGCAUAAUGAAUUAUGAACAAUUACCAAGGACAUCUGUCUACUUAUUUUCUCUUCUCUGCUGAUGGGGAAGGAGAGUCUUAUCACCCUGCAGGGAUACCUGGAGUCUUCUAAUUCCACAGUAAAAUUCAGAUGGCAUAGUAUGGCACCAGAGAUGAAGCACUCAAGGGUGAGCAGACUGUCACCAGGAUGCCAGGCCAUAGGAGGCUGCCAGGUGCCCAGUGGAACAAUCAACUUUCUGCCACCUACAAACAAAGGAAUGGGACACUUUCCUUUGCCUCAGAGGGAGUGGCAAUGAACUCACUUCUGGACAAUGAAGUGUACAAGGCA